AUACUCUGAUUUCUCUUCAGAUCGUAUAAAUCUUUUGCCUUUUACUAAAGAUUUCCGUGGAGAGGAACAGUUACGAGUCUUUAACCGAUUUUUUGAUGCCUUGGUUCUCUGGGACU
rnacentral:snRNA from 1 species